CAGCAGCCGCGGUAAUACGAAGGGGGCUAGCGUUGCUCGGAAUUACUGGGCGUAAAGGGAGCGUAGGCGGACAUUUAAGUCAGGGGUGAAAUCCCAGAGCUCAACUCUGGAACUGCCUUUGAUACUGGGUGUCUUGAGUGUGAUAGAGGUAUGUGGAACUCCGAGUGUAGAGGUGAAAUUCGUAGAUAUUCGGAAGAACACCAGUGGCGAAGGCGACAUACUGGAUCAUUACUGACGCUGAGGCUCGAAAGCGUGGGGAGCAAACAGGAUUAGAUACCCCCGUAGUCCCUGUCUCUUAUAC
rnacentral:rRNA from 1 species